GUGGGGAAUCUUCCGCAAUGGACGAAAGUCUGACGGAGCAACGCCGCGUGAGUGAUGAAGGUUUUCGGACUGUAAAGCUCUGUUGUUUAGGACGAAAGUGCCUGUUGCAAAUAGUUACAGGUAUUGACGGUACUGAACGAGGAAGCCACGGCUAACUACGUGCCAGCAGCCGCGGUAAUACGUAGGUGACAAGCGUUGUCCGAAAUUAUUGGGCGUAAAGAGCAUGUAGGCGGGAAUCUAAGUCUGUUGUGAAAAUGCGGGGCUCAACCCCGUAUUGCGAUGGAAACUGGGUUUCUUGAGUGCAGGAGAGGAAAGGAGAAUUCCCAGUGUAGCGGUGAAAUGCGUAGAUAUUGGGAGGAACACCAGUGGCGAAGGCGCCUUUCUGGACUGUGUCUGACGCUGAGAUGCGAAAGCCAGGGUAGCGAACGGGAUUAGAAACCCGAGUAGUCC
rnacentral:rRNA from 1 species